rnacentral:rRNA from 1 species
UGAGGAAUAUUGGUCAAUGGGCGCUAGCCUGAACCAGCCAAGUAGCGUGAAGGAUGAAGGCUCUAUGGGUCGUAAACUUCUUUUAUAUAAGAAUAAAGUGCAGUAUGUAUACUGUUUUGUAUGUAUUAUAUGAAUAAGGAUCGGCUAACUCCGUGCCAGCAGCCGCGGUAAUACGGAGGAUCCGAGCGUUAUCCGGAUUUAUUGGGUUUAAAGGGAGCGUAGGUGGACUGGUAAGUCAGUUGUGAAAGUUUGCGGCUCAACCGUAAAAUUGCAGUUGAUACUGUCAGUCUUGAGUACAGUAGAGGUGGGCGGAAUUCGUGGUGUAGCGGUGAAAUGCUUAGAUAUCACGAAGAACUCCGAUUGCGAAGGCAGCUUGCCAUACUGCGACUGACACUGAAGCACGAAGGCGUGGGUAUCAAACAGG